CACGUAGGGCGCAAGCGUUGUCCGGAAUUAUUGGGCGUAAAGAGCUCGUAGGCGGUCUGUUGCGUCCGCUGUGAAAACACUGGGCUUAACCGAGUGCUUGCUUUCGAUACGGGCAGACUUGAGGCAUUGAGGGGAGAACGGAAUUCCUGGUGUAGCGGUGAAAUGCGCAGAUAUCAGGAGGAACACCGGUGGCGAAGGCGGUUCUCUGGCAAUGUUCUGACGCUGAGGAGCGAAAGUGUGGGGAGCGAACAGG
rnacentral:rRNA from 1 species